AAUUAUUAAAUAGAAUAUUGAAAUGUUAGAUUCGUAAGAUAAUAUGGUCAAGAACAACAGUAUGAAUGGUCUCAACAUAAAUAAAUAUAUAGUUUUAAGAUCUUAAUAGUUUGUUUAACAUUAGUUUCUUCGUUUAAAGACUUGACUAAAUGUUCAUAAUUUCCGAAAUAAGGUGUUAGAGAACUACAGUAAUAUGGUCAAACACA
rnacentral:lncRNA from 1 species